AAGGUAGAGGAGCUGAGACGGAACGAGAAUGCUUUUCUUCUUGCUUGGCUUGGCCUCGUGGCGUCAUCCUCGUCCAAGGCCUUCUUCUAGCUGCUUCAGGCUUUCUUCCAGAAGAGUUGGAUAAGUUGUUUGUGAAGUACGUGUAUCCGGUGUUCACUCCUUCUGUUGGAUUAUUUGUGGCUGGAACUACUGCAUAUGGAGUUCUUAAGUACUUACAAAAUGAGAAACUCAAGGAUCAAAAGUGAUACACACACACACACACCUUUGGAUAUUUUGAGCUAGCCUGUGAUUGUGAGAGGUUGGUUGUUCAAUGGUUUAGGGUAAGUGUGUUUGUGUGUUGAUCUGAUCUUUGUUCUUGUAUAUGCAAAGAGAUGGUUAUGUUAAAUUAAAAAAAUAUGUUGGGAGAUAUAUUCAGGUGCUA